GAUGAACGCUGGCGGCGUGCUUAACACAUGCAAGUCGAACGAAGCAUUUAAACGGAAGUUUUCGGAUGGAAGUAUAAAUGACUGAGUGGCGGACGGGUGAGUAACGCGUGGGUAACCUGCCUCAUACAGGGGGAUAACAGUUAGAAAUGACUGCUAAUACCGCAUAAGCGCACAGUGUCACAUGACACAGUGUGAAAAACUCCGGUGGUAUGAGAUGGACCCGCGUCUGAUUAGCUAGUUGGUAAGGUAAGGGCUUACCAAGGCGACGAUCAGUAGCCGGCCUGAGAGGGUGACCGGCCACAUUGGGACUGAGACACGGCCCAAACUCCUACGGGAGGCAGCAGUGGGGAAUAUUGCACAAUGGGCGAAAGCCUGAUGCAGCAACGCCGCGUGAAGGAAGACGUAUUUCGGUAUGUAAACUUCUAUCAGCAAGGAAGAAAAUGACGGUACUUGACUAAGAAGCCCCGGCUAACUACGUGCCAGCCGCCGCCGUAACAC
rnacentral:rRNA from 1 species